AUCUGUGACCCGGGGCCACGUGCUGGGAUCAGCUCUUUACACGAAGGAGCUCACUGACUCCCCUGGAUCCCCUUGCCAGGUCUCACCUCCCAUCAAGGAAGAUGUCCAGAUUGCUGUCUGACGUCUGGUCUCUGGACUGAAGGCCAUUUAGUGCAGAUCUCACAAAUGAUGGUGGGGCAAGGCAGGGGGUAUGCAUGAGUGGCAUGGGCAAGGUGUGAGUUGGGGGAUACAAAAGGGAGUGGUGGAGGCCGGGCACGGUGGCUCACACCUGUAAUCCCAGCACUUUGGGAGGCCAAUGCGGGCGAAUCACCUGAGGUCAGGAGUUCAGGGCCAGUCUGAUAGCCUGAGCAACAUGGAGAAACCCCGCCUCUAAUAAAAAAUACAAAAAUUAGUGAAGCCGACUGGACCAGCAGGUGGCUGUUGUGUGGCCUCUCAGGAGGACGCCCUCUCCCUUCCCCCAGUGGUUGCAAAAUACUUCAGAAAGAAAACCAAAGUUCUCUGUGGGUGCAGUCGGUUGUUUCAGAAGCUGACGGAGCCUGGUCUUUGUAUAACCCCAUCUUUCCCCUUUCUUUCUGUCAACUGUUUAUGGGAGGAUUCUCAAACUGUUCUGGAGAAUGUUUCUACCCUUUAGUUCUAGUGUUGGGUGACCUGUAAUUUUCAUGUUGGCUGGGGAUGCCAGGAGUUGGCAGAGGCUCCUUCCAGAGCCCCUGUGGACUGGAUUCUGCCACUUCCGUAAAAUCAUUCAAAAGUAGAGGGUGAGUCAGGUGCAGUAGCUCACAUCUGUAAUCCCAGCACCUUGAGAGGCCAAGGCAGGCAGAUCCCCUGAGGUCAGGAGUUCAAGAUCACCCUGGCCAACAUGGUGAGACCCUGUCUCUACUAAAAAAAAUUUAAAAAUCAGCUAGAUGUGGUGGCACACGCCUGUGGUCCCAGCUACUCAGAAGGCUGAGGCAGGAGAAUUGCUUGAACCCAGGAGGUGGAGGUUGCAGUGAGCUGAGAUCAUACCACAACCCAGUGAAGGGGGUCCAGCAAGCCAUGCCUGGGGUGAGAGAGAACUGAUGUUUUGGUUCUCUCACACUACUUAUUCUGUUUGGAAAAACACAUGCCCUUCCUUUGUGGGAACAGCCCCUACCCACUUCUGUGGCUCUGAAGGGACCACCAGUCAUGGCACCAGCCCCCUGGGCAUGGGAUUGGCCCCUGACAGGCACAUGACUUGAGCCAGGCCAAUUAGAGGCCUUCCUUGGGAUUUACUAUAUGGACGUUAGGAGAGAGAUGCUCUCUUAUUCUGCUGGAGUUUGCUGAACUUGCAUGGGAAGGGAUAGGCCUUAUGGAGAGACCAACACAUAGAUAAUAGUUGGGAUGGGAGAUGAAAGGAGAGAAUCCUGACAUCAUUUGAGUCCCCUGAUCCAGCAACACCUGAGGCUAGAUCCUCUUAGCUGUGUGAGCCUAUAGUAUCAGUCUCUGUCUCCUCUGUCUCUCUUAAUGUGUGGGAUUCAGCCAUCUGCAACAACUACCACAAAAUCCCGGAGUAUGCAGGGAACUUCCCACAGAGCUAACUUCCUUUUUUGUUCUGUCUCCUAAAACACCAAGAUCCGGUGAGGUUAAGCAACGUGUCCAAGGUCAUCACUAUUUGAAGGCAGGGCAGCAUUUAACCCAAUUUUAUCUAAUCCUAUGCAGGCUCAUUUAUCUAGACCAGAGUUUCUCAAAUGAGGCAUCCCAGGCUCUAAGGGCUGCAGAGAAGUUUCCAGAGAUGCCACUGAGGGCAGGAGUGGACAGAGUGGAUAACUCCAAAGAUCUUAACACCCUCUGGAUGACUAACAGUGCUUGAGCACUUCCCAUUUGCAAGACAUUUGCAAGUUCUUUUCCAUAAAUCAUCCUUUUUUUUCAUCCCCAUAAGCUAUGAGCUGGGGCUAAUGACAUCCCCACUGAACAGAUGAGAAAACUGAGGCCCAGGAAAGGAAUUGCUCAGGUUAUAUAGAACCUGUGAUGCGUUCUGGGAGGAACCAUAUCUUAAGCCUGAUACUACUUAGUGGGAUCAGCUGGAAGGCAAGGUGGGGAGGCGGCAGUGCCGCCAGAGUAGCGUUGGGGGCUGGACUGGGGGUCAAAUGAUGAGGUUUUUUUGUUUUUGUUUUUGUUUUUGUCUUGUUUGUUUGUUUUUUUUUUUGAUACGGAGUCUGGCCCUGUCACUCAGGCUGGAGUGCAAUGGUGACAUCUCCACUCACUGCAACCUCUGCCUCCUGGGUUCAAACGAUUCUCCUGCCUCAAGCCUCCUGAGUAGCUGGGAUUAUAGGUGCCUACCACCACGCCCAGCUAAUUUUUCUAUUUUUAGCAGAGAUGGGGUUUCACUAUGUUGGCCAGAUUGGUCUUGAACUCCUGACCUUGUGAUCCGCCUGCCUCGGCCUCCCAAAAUGCCGGGAUUACAGUCGUGAGCCACCGCACCCGGCCAAUGAUGAGCUUUUCUGAAGUAGCAUCAGACCAGGCUGCAAAAGAGGGGCACCAGGGAAAGCUUUUCCUGCCAUUCACCCCUGCAGGAUCCUGGCCAGGCGAGUAGCUGUGUGACCCUGGGUUGAGUCAUCCCCAUUUUACAGAGGGAAAACUGAGACUCCGGAGGUUUGCGACAUGGCCUGCUAACAGGCAGAGCCGGGAUUCAAAUCAAGAUCUCACUCCAGUGAGUGAAUGGGAACAGGAUGCAGAUGGUAGACACUGAACACGAAGAAGAAAGCACUGAGGCUGGGAUGAAGAAAGACUUGCUGGCCUUUGCAAAGCAGCAGCUGGGAGGAAGCCGGGCUCCAGACUGAAGGCAUCAUUACCAUCGUGGUGAGCCACACAGUAGGAUGAAUGAGGAAUUCUGGGGCCUCAGGCGUUCCCUGUUGGAUUUUCCAAAGAGCGACAGCCACGCUGGAGGAAGUGCUCCAAUCGUGCACAUAUGAGAUGACUGUGGGUAUGGAGAAACAGCAGGAAAUGAAAUGUACUCACCAGGUAAAAAACUAUCCUUUCUCCAAGUCAUUUUUCAAUCCCUGCUAUGAAAUCAAGGAGCAACUCUCUGUUGGGCCAGUAAGUCUCUAGGGUCUCUCUAAUAUAUUUUGGUUUCUCUAUUGAAUAAAAGAAAGGAAGAAAAUGAGAGAACGUGGGCACACCAGAGGGAAGGCCAGAGCUAGGUUACGUUGGAGGAACUGCUCAAAGAACCUCAGUUUAAAGCAGAAGUUGGCAAACUAUCAAUCAUCAAAGAAAAACAAAAAGCAUAUGUCAUGACAGGUGAAAAUUACAUGAAAUCCAAAUUUCAGUGACUACAAAUAAAGUUUUAUUGAAACGCAGUCGGCCGGGGGUGGUGGCUUACACCUGUAAUCCCAGCACUUUGGCAGGCCAAGGCAGGCAGAUCACCUGAGGUCAGGAGUUGGAGACCAGCCUGGCCAACAUGGCGAAACCCUGUUUCUACUAAAAAUACAAAAAAAUAGCGAGGUGUGGGGGUGGGCACCUGUAAUCCCAGCUACUCGGGAAGCUGAGGCAGGAGAAUCACUUGAACCCAGGAGGCGGAGGUUGCAGUGAGCCGAGAUCGCACCAUUGCACUCCAGCCUGGGUAACAAGAGCAAAACUGCAUCUCAAAAAAAAAAAACAAACAAAAAAGUAACACAGUCAUGACUAUUGUCUAUGGUUAUGACUAUUGCGUUCAUUCUGGAAUGGCAGAGUUCAGUGUUCGGAAGGAAGAUUACCUGGCUCACAAAGUCUCAAAUACUGUGUACCGCUUGGCUCUUUAAGUUUGCCAACCCCUGGGUUGGUGGCGGGUGAUAAUGUAAAAAUUAAUACAAUGGCAGAAGAAUGAAUGAACUCUGAAGAACAUUCUUUGGAAGCCUACAAGAAUGGAGUAGAAGAGGAUGGAUGAGCAGAAAGGCUCACACUUGGAAUGCCAGUGUUUAUUUAACACACUAAGAUUCCCUUCUACACCCCGAUAGGAGGAGUCUACUUUAAGACUUCACCAGGUUCCAGCCUGUCCCCUGCC
rnacentral:lncRNA from 1 species